AUACGGAGGACGCGAGCGUUAUCCGGAUUCAUUGGGUUUAAAGGGUGCGCAGGCGGCCGUGCAAGUCAGCGGUGAAAGCCCGGGGCUCAACCCCGGAAGUGCCGUUGAUACUGCAUGGCUGGAAUGCGGUCGAGGCGGGAGGGACGUGGCGUGUAGCGGGGAAAUGCGUAGAUAUGCCACAGAACGCCGAGAGCGGAGGCAGCUCGCCAGGCCUGCAUUGACGCUCGGGCACGAAAGCGUGGGGAUCGAACAGGAUUAGAUACCCUGGAAGUCCACGCCGUAAACGAUGGGCGCUCGUCGUCGGCGGCAGACAGUCGGCGGCCAAGCGAAAGCGAUAAGCGCCCCACCUGGGGAGUACGGUCGCAAGGCUGAAACUCAAAUGAAUUGGCGGGG
rnacentral:rRNA from 1 species